AUUGAACGCUGGCGGCAGGCCUAACACAUGCAAGUCGAGCGAGCGGCGGACGGGUGAGUAAUGUCUGGGAAACUGCCCGAUGGAGGGGGAUAACUACCGGAAACGGUAGCUAAUACCGCAUACUAUCAGAUGUGCCCAGAUGGGAUUAGCUAGUUGGUGGGGUAACGGCUCACCUAGGCGACGAUCCCUAGCUGGUCUGAGAGGAUGACCAGCCACACUGGAACUGAGACACGGUCCAGACUCCUACGGGAGGCAGCAGUGGGGAAUAUUGCACAAUGGGCGCAAGCCUGAUGCAGCCAUGCCGCGUGUGUGAAGAAGGCCUUCGGGUUGUAAAGCACUUUCAGCAGGGAGGCGUUACCCGCAGAAGAAGCACCGGCUAACUCCGUGCCAGCAGCCGCGGUAAUAC
rnacentral:rRNA from 1 species